rnacentral:tRNA from 1 species
CCGAUUUUAGUUUUUAGAAUAUCUCUUUGUUAAUGAGAAGGGUUUUAUUGGU